AGAGUUUGAUCAUGGCUCAGAUUGAACGCUGGCGGCAGGCUUAACACAUGCAAGUCGAGCGGAGAGAGGUAGCUUGCUACUGAUCUUAGCGGCGGACGGGUGAGUAAUGCUUAGGAAUCUGCCUAUUAGUGGGGGACAACAUUUCGAAAGGAAUGCUAAUACCGCAUACGUCCUACGGGAGAAAGCAGGGGAUCUUCGGACCUUGCGCUAAUAGAUGAGCCUAAGUCGGAUUAGCUAGUUGGUGGGGUAAAGGCCUACCAAGGCGACGAUCUGUAGCGGGUCUGAGAGGAUGAUCCGCCACACUGGGACUGAGACACGGCCCAGACUCCUACGGGAGGCAGCAGUGGGGAAUAUUGGACAAUGGGCGGAAGCCUGAUCCAGCCAUGCCGCGUGUGUGAAGAAGGCCUUAUGGUUGUAAAGCACUUUAAGCGAGGAGGAGGCUACUUUAGUUAAUACCUAGAGAUAGUGGACGUUACUCGCAGAAUAAGCACCGGCUAACUCUGUGCCAGCAGCCGCGGUAAUACAGAGGGUGCAAGCGUUAAUCGGAUUUACUGGGCGUAAAGCGCGCGUAGGCGGCUAAUUAAGUCAAAUGUGAAAUCCCCGAGCUUAACUUGGGAAUUGCAUUCGAUACUGGUUAGCUAGAGUGUGGGAGAGGAUGGUAGAAUUCCAGGUGUAGCGGUGAAAUGCGUAGAGAUCUGGAGGAAUACCGAUGGCGAAGGCAGCCAUCUGGCCUAACACUGACGCUGAGGUGCGAAAGCAUGGGGAGCAAACAGGAUUAGAUACCCUGGUAGUCCAUGCCGUAAACGAUUUCUACUAGCCGUUGGGGCCUUUGAGGCUUUAGUGGCGCAGCUAACGCGAUAAGUAGACCGCCUGGGGAGUACGGUCGCAAGACUAAAACUCAAAUGAAUUGACGGGGGCCCGCACAAGCGGUGGAGCAUGUGGUUUAAUUCGAUGCAACGCGAAGAACCUUACCUGGCCUUGACAUAGUAAGAACUUUCCAGAGAUGGAUUGGUGCCUUCGGGAACUUACAUACAGGUGCUGCAUGGCUGUCGUCAGCUCGUGUCGUGAGAUGUUGGGUUAAGUCCCGCAACGAGCGCAACCCUUUUCCUUAUUUGCCAGCGAGUAAUGUCGGGAACUUUAAGGAUACUGCCAGUGACAAACUGGAGGAAGGCGGGGACGACGUCAAGUCAUCAUGGCCCUUACGGCCAGGGCUACACACGUGCUACAAUGGUCGGUACAAAGGGUUGCUACCUAGCGAUAGGAUGCUAAUCUCAAAAAGCCGAUCGUAGUCCGGAUUGGAGUCUGCAACUCGACUCCAUGAAGUCGGAAUCGCUAGUAAUCGCGGAUCAGAAUGCCGCGGUGAAUACGUUCCCGGGCCUUGUACACACCGCCCGUCACACCAUGGGAGUUUGUUGCACCAGAAGUAGCUAGCCUAACUGCAAAGAGGGCGGUUACCACGGUGUGGCCGAUGACUGGGGUGAAGUCGUAACAAGGUAGCCGUAGGGGAACCUGCGGCUGGAUCACCU
rnacentral:rRNA from 1 species